ACUAUGAGUCAGAAAUCCUCAAGUUAAAUCUGCCAGAGUUCUUUGGUUAUUAAAUUUCAUGUUUUGGAGAAUAAGAUAUGUGUCACCUAUUCAUGGUAAUGAGGAGAGAAGAAGAAGGAAUUUCCACAGAGACUUCAUGUGUGCUCAAACAGCAGACUCUAUCUUGGUGCCAGAUGGUGCUUUCAUUUGAAAUCAGCUGUGUUCCUCUUCAUGCUGCUUUGACUGAAUUGAUGUGGAACAGAGAGGUUAAAGAGGAUGUUAUGAAGAGGCUGUUCAUUGUUUCUCAAGCUCAAUUAGUAUAUGGAUGCUCUCUUGGGAGGGAAAGUUUUCUUAAUUUCCAAAAUUGGCUUAAAUUGUUUUUAUUAAAACUUUACUUAAAUACAUAUAAACCUAAAAGAUUCAAUAAACUUCUUAUGUUUGCAUUUAUUAAAAAGGCAUAAAAUCAAAACAAAUUACAAAUUAAAUUUUAAAAAGCACAAGACCAUUAAAAAUCAAAUUGAC
rnacentral:lncRNA from 1 species